rnacentral:misc_RNA from 1 species
GAUGAAGAACGUAGCGAAACGCGAUAUGUAAUGUGAAUUGCAGAAUUCAGUGAAUCAUCGAAUCUUUGAACGCACAUGGCGCCUUCCAGUAUCCUGGGAGGCAUGCCUGUCCGAGCGUCGUUUCAACCCUCGAGCCCCCGUGGCCCGGCGUUGGGGAUCUGCCCAGGCAGUCCCCGAAAACCAGUGGCGGACCCGUUACAGGCCCUUCCCUUGCGUAGUAGCAUUCGCCUCGCAUCGGGAGCGGGCGGGCUUCCAGCCUCUAAACCCCCAUCAAGUCCGCCCCGGCGGCACCAAGGUUGACCUCGGAUCAGGUAGGAAUACCCGCUGAACUUAAGCAUAUCAAUAAGCGGAGGA